GCUCAUUGCAGAAUUACUCACAGUCGCUAAGGAAUGGAAACUAUGGAAAUGUCCACCAAUGGAGGAAUGGACAAAGAAAAUAUAUAUACAUACAUACUACAUAUAGAUUCACCAAGAUGGAAUCUGAAACUGUGACAGAAGCAGCUCUGUUUUUCAGGAAACUUGAGUUCUUAUGCAAAAGAACCAGGGUUUAUGGUCUCUUCACGCUGUUUCCAGUAGUCUAGCCUAUCUCUGCUCUCAUGCAAAUUGUCUGAAUGGGACACUGGAAGAAUGCUUUUUUCCGGCAUAUAAUUAAAAUAAUUUUUUAAAACCUGC
rnacentral:lncRNA from 1 species